AGGCCACAACAGUGAGAGGCCCACGUACCUCAAAAAAAAAAAAAAAAUCAGGUGAGGAGAUUGCGGCCAGAGACGUGAAGGAACCUGUUCAAGGAAGGUCACACCGCUCACAGGACAGGAACUCUGCUUCUGUUGUUCUUUCUCCUGCACUGGGCUUUGAUAACCUUUCCCUGCAUUAAUUAACCAACAUUACAACCUGGGAGAGACACCAGCAACUGAGCCUGUGCUGUGUUAAAUGCUGCAGAAGCACCGUCACAUAAAUCCUCACAGCAAGUCUAAGAUUAAGUAUGACUGGUCCAUAAGCCCUCAUCCUAAGCUCUGAAGGCAGUGUCUCAGAAUUCAGAAAUGUUCACAUUUUAGAAAGGUAACAGGGUGCAUUUAUCAUACAUUGUGUAAAAACCCCACUAGAGCCUGGAGAAGUGCCUAAACACAGUAACGUUCCUGCAACAAAUGUGUAAGAUCCACGGUAAGCUGGACAAAUCCUAUAAAGUGUCUCAUGGCAGCUCAAAGCAGGUUUAUCAACCAAUUGAGUACAAAAAUCCCUUGUUUCUCAGAGCUCUGAGACUUCGGAUCUGUUUUCUUUGCUCCCAUUGGGCAGAUCAGGAAAACGAGGUUGAGAGCUUAAGCUGGGGUGGGGAUGGGCGCUGAGAAUCCUGGCAGCCUGAUUCCGGAGCCCACCUCCUGCCCACCACUGGGACUGCUGCUCUAAUAGUAGUGGGUAGAAAGCCCGCAAAACAACAAAAAGCUCUAGGGCAAUGUUUCAAACACACACAACUCUAAUCUGCACUCCUCCUUUCCCUACCUUUGAUAAUUUUUGCUGAAAGCAGCUAAUUAACUGUGUUAUCAGAAAUUUCUGUGUGGCUGGCAGUGGGGAAAGAAAUGCUCAACUUUUCUCACGCUGAGGAUCUGGUGACGUCACAUGCCACAAGUCACAUCAAGGACCACCAUGCUGCCUCCUGCCGAGGCCUCACCGAGGGCAUCAGAGGCUCGUGUGAACAGACGAACUAAAAAAAGUGUGUCUGAGAACACGGCCAGCGGUCCUCCCGACCGUCACGUGUGGAUGCACCGGGCAAACACACACAGGCUACUUAUAUCUCUGCCGUGUCCACCUGAGCCGCACGGCAGCCCAUUCUACAGAAGCUCAGCAGCUGCACAGCCUGAGCUUCUGCAGAACGGGAGACGGGAUCCACAAACAGUCCUCCCAGUUCUGCAGGCCAUGCUCUCCCCCUUCUGUCCUGGGCUUUGGAAGCAAAGCAGUAAGAUUCCCAGGUCCACUCUUGCUUCCUCAUUCUUCCCCUUCAUCAUCUUCCCCUACAGACCCAAAGGAGCCCCAAGGGAAAGAAAGCCCUCCUUAGGAGCACCAAGCCAGAGGGAGGUGGCAGAGGGUCGUACCGGGACCCUCACGUCUGUUUGCAGGUUUGGCCUCAGUUUUAAAGGAAAAGCAGGGAGAAUGGCCAGGACAGGUGCUUCAAGCUCUCUGCCUUCUCAGUGACCGUGUCCCUGGGACUGCUUUCUAGAGAACCAGACAAGUAAAAGAUGGUACAAAAGUGUAAGCGUCUCCUCCUGUCUGUGGCUACAGCCAUGUCAGCUCUGUUUCCCUGGAGAAAAGCAGCUCGCCUCAGACUCCUAACUUCUCAGAGGAAGGCCAUUUAAAGCAGCUGCAUGAACACUCUUCUGGAGAAAAAUGGCCCCUUUUAAGGAGCCAAGGCUACUGUAGGCAAUUUUCUUUAAGUAUAUAAGGGUUCCCUGCUCAAUAUGAGAAAUACAGCUUAUUCCACUGUGGCAGGAGGAAAAGUUAGACCAGUCAACGGCACCAACACGGCCCUCUCGGGGAGGCUCUGUAGUUCAAAACCAUCGUGGGGGGAAUUCCCUGGUGGUUCAGUGGUUAGGACUCUGUGCUUUCACUGCCGAGGGCCCGGGUUCAAUCCGUUGUCGGGGAGCUAAGAUCCCGCAAGCCUCAUGGCUUGGCCAGAAAAAAAAAAAAAAAAAAAAGCAAGGCCCAGAGCGAGUUUCCAAGGCCUGUCGAGCUUUGGGGGAAGCACGAUGCUAACACAGCUUGAAGCCUGGUGUUCUCGCCGGCAGUUCUAGGGACAACUGGGUAAGAAGGCUGAAUGGAAGAAUGGGCCCCACCCCUGUUGUACGCUGAUUUCCUCUGCUGACCUUAUCACCUGGAGAGAUGGGCGUUGGGGAUCACUAGCCUUGUGACUGGAGGAGCAGCUGGUUUUGCUAAGGAGUGGGUGGCUGGUGCUCUUGCCAUUUGGUGGGAAGGGUCAGGGAUGCUAACUUGCCUGUUAGGAAAGGGCAGUCCUGCACAUCCAAGAACUGUCCUCCCCAAAUGCCCGAGUGGUCAGGUGAGACCUGUUCGGGCCCCUGUGGGUCUGGCUGAAUUCUUCUCACCCUUCUGUCCUCUCUAGUGGCUUGCCUCCUUGCCUUUCCUCAACCUCUAUCAGCAGGCCCCUGUCUCAGGGCCUUUGCACCUGCUCUUUCCUCACUCUCAACUCUACUCAGGUCUCUGCUCAAAUGUCACCUCAGAAAGGACUUUGUUCAUCACUCUACCUGAAACAGCCCCUGGCCCCUCUAUCCCUUGACCUAGUUUUUCCUUAUCAAACCUUCCACUACCUAACUUUAUAUUAAGUGUAUUUAUCUAUUUUCUGUCUCUCUACAAGCUUUACAAUGAGUAUCUUGUCUAUUUUACUCAGCCUUAUAUCCCUAGCACUAGAACAGUGCCUGACACAUAGUAAGUGCUCAAUAAGUAUUUGUCUCACAUAUGAUUAAGGUUCUGAGAGCUAGAGGGAACCUGGCCACCCAAGGGCAGCCCAGAUCACAUGGAAGGGAGGCCGC